UUCUGCAAAAUAUGUUCAGUAGAACAGAACCACAGAACAAUAGAUCAUGUACAGGCUGUUUUUGUUCAGUCAGUCCCUUGUUUUAUACAGUAUGUCUAUAGAUUUGGACACUUUACUUUGAAUAGACUCAAUAUGAGGUUUCCAACACAGUUUACUAUCUCUGAUGACACCUAUAAAUUUAGCUUCAUAAACUCUUUCUAUUAUCAGUAGGUCUGUUUUCAGUACAGGUUCUGUUAUUGUCAUGUUUAUAUCAGUGAAAUAUAACUUUGUCCUGAUUUGACUGAGUUUUCUUU